UUCCAAAGGGUGUGAUUGCAGAUAUGUUACCCUUUCCUAUACAAGAAAGUGAUCCUCCAGAAUACUCUGAGAUAGGACACUUGGAUGUUCAAGAAUCGAGCUCAGCUCCUUCGGGAACUAUCAACAAUCGACGAACAAGACAAAUCAGACUGAUACUAAGGAUACAAGAAUGGCUUAUUACAAGAUCACGAAGGACAACUUUUCACAUCCCUGACAGUGUGGACUAAUGGCCGACUACAAUGAACAAGACUAUAUAUAUUUAUUACAUACAUAUCGAUGAGAUAUAUUAUUCAACCUUAGAGGAUAUUAAAUAGGCCCGCGUAGAUACGGAUUUUAUCUUUGAGUGUUGGAAAGAUCUCUCACGAGUGAGCGUAACAAGAAUAUGAAAUCCGUAUCUCCAUGUAUAGAUAUUCUUUUUAUCGUAUAAUCAUCUUUGAAUUCAAAUUGUGUCGUAAAAUAACUUUCAUAUACUUCAAAUAUAUAGAGAAACCACGAAUAUGUUAUUUUCACAGUGAAAAUCUACUGUUAAUAUGGACGCAAGUGACAGGCAUAGCAAUUUAUCACUAAAAUAUGACCUAUGGAAUGCUUUACAUUGAAAUAACAUGAUUAUUAAAAAUUAUAAUUAUUUGAUACUUGUUUAACUUGGUAAUAUGCUACACUAUGGAAUGUUUUAAGGUAAUCUGCAAGUACUUUCAUAUUCAGAUCACACUGUAUAUUAGAUUAUGGUUGGGUUACUCGUUGCGUUGUUUCACAAAACAAAAUAUGACUAUUAAAACAAAACCACCAUAGCUCUUACGGCAGGAUAUAGUUAUUUUAUGGACUCAUGUAUUUGGUCGUAAUAGUAAUGGUCUCGAAAUA